rnacentral:ribozyme from 13 species
UUUUUUUUUUUUUUUUUUUUUUUUUUUUUUUCUUCC